GAUGAACGCUGGCGGCGUGCUUAACACAUGCAAGUCGAACGAAGCACCUUAUUUGUUUUCCUUUGGGACUGAUUCUUUUGUGACUGAGUGGCGUACGGGUGAGUAACGCGAGGGUAACCUGCCUUGUACAGGGGGAUAACAGUUGGAAACGGCUGCUAAUACUGCAUAAGCGCACGGCAUCGCAUGAUGCAGUGUGAAAAACACCGGCGGUAUAAGAUGGACCCGCGUUGGAUUAGCCGGUGGGUGAGGUAACGGCCAACCAAGGCGACGAUCCAUAGCCGAGCUGGGAAGGGGACAGGCCACGUUGGGGCUGAGGCACGGCCCAAAAUCCGACGGGGGAGAGCAGAAGGGAACAUUGCGGGAUGGGGGAAAGCGUGAUGCAGCGACGUCGCGGAUGCGAGGAAGUGUUUCGGUAUGUAAUGCUGUAUCAGCAGGGAAGAUAGUGACGGUAACUGACAAAGAAGCACCGGCUAAAUACGUG
rnacentral:rRNA from 1 species